rnacentral:rRNA from 1 species
CCUACGGGGGGCAGCAGUGAGGAAUAUUGGUCAAUGGGCGCGAGCCUGAACCAGCCAAGUAGCGUGAAGGAUGACUGCCCUACGGGUUGUAAACUUCUUUUAUAAAGGAAUAAAGUGAGGCACGUGUGCCUUUUUGUGUGUAUUUUAUGAAUAAGGAUCGGCUAACUCCGUGCCAGCAGCCGCGGUAAUACGGAGGAUCCGAGCGUUAUCCGGAUUUAUUGGGGUUAAAGGGAGCGUAUAUGGGUUGUUAAGUCAGGUGUGAAAGGUUGGGGCCCAACCGUAAAAAUGCCAUUGAUACUGGCAGUCUUGAGGAGAGGUGAGGUAGGCGGAAAGCGGGGUG